AUAACGUCGCCCAGCGUCGGUUCCAAGGGCUUCACGGUUAAACUCCGUGAAUACAUGGGACUUUAGUUAUUUGGUAACGUUUUCAUCGUUUCUACGAUUUUUUAUGGUCAAAGAUGAAACCGACCGUGGAUGAACUGAACGCAGAAACAUUUUAGUUCCUGUUUAUGCUCCGCGUUUCACAUAUCACACGUACGCUUCAUCGAUAUAUCUCAGUGUCAAUAUUGUGGCUAAUAAUAUGUACAGUUAAAAAUAAUAUACAAAUACACACACGCGCGUUUUUACGUGUGCGUAAAUACCGGCUAACCAAUUAGAUUGAUUAAGUCGAAGUCACACCUCUCGAUAAUAUUAUGUAUCUACACGUUACAUCUCUUUCAUUCUACGAUUAAUACGAGUUAAGCGGACAGUGGACUGACUUUAUCCAGAUGAUGCGGUCUAAUCUGAUUGUUUUGAAGAUUCUUCAACCCGAUUGAAAGACGUUCAGGUUUGGGGAACGAGGCUGCUUUGCAGAAGUUGUUGAACAACGUGAUGAUGAGAUACCGUGUUACACGUCUUUAGACGUCUUGUGUUUGACGUUAUACGCGCUAGUCGGUGUUGAAAGUUGACUCGAGUAUUGAGAGAGAGAGAAACUUCAAGGUACAAUUGAUUAUCGGUUCUUCGCAGAUUGAAUUCUAUCAUGUGAAGAGGGAAGUAUAGGUGCACGGAGUUGCGGGGGGCGAUUCUGCCUUUCGCUCAUGCAUGGGGGAUAAGAAAGAGGGGGCGUCUAGUGUCGCGGGCGGUAUUUCCACGCGAUGAGGAACAUCGUGUAAUGUAUGGCUGCGAUUCUAUAUGCGCGCGUCGUUUAUUUCAUCUUGAUCACGAAGCUCAGCUGCGGAAAUGGAUGGAGAAAAUUGAUGUCACCAAUCGCGUUAUAUUCUUUAUAGGAGAAACUAUGUGAGAAGUACGAUGCUUACUUUAUUUUCAAUCGAGUAUUCAGCCGGUGGAUGGGAAACAGCGACUCGACUUAUCGUCAUGGUUUCUUAUCCUGUCGCUUCAUCGUGAUCGACGACCACGGCUUCGAUUCACAACAAUGGGCCGAAUAAUUAGAACAACGCGCAAGUCCGAAGGGGUUGGCCUUCCUUUCUUCACGAUUUCUUCACCAAAGACCUUUCAUCUCUGAAUCCAUUCAUACGACUUUGCCUAGACUAACCAGAUAUCAAGGAUUCCAAAAAAGGCGUUCCAAUUAUCGUGGUAUUAACAACUGACAAAUUGCGAAUAAAAUAUUGGAAAAUUCAAUUAUUUAUUCGUUUCAAUCCAGGUUACAAAAAGUAGCAGCGAUACAGUAUCAAAUGUAACAUAUCGUAUCUUGCAGGGGUGCGUUGCGCUUGUACGCAAGCCAGAACUUGAAAUAUACUUACUAACUACGACAAUGACUGUCUAAUAUAAUAUUUUUCAUGUUCUGCUUAAUAUAAUAUGUACUGCAAUCCUUUGUGCUGUUCUAAUGUUCAAACAUAUUACGAAAUGUUCAAUGUUAACAUACUUUUGGAUUUCUUUUCGACUUUCACUUAGUACUAUUGGGUAACUUGUUAAAAUACUACACACUGACACCCCAACACUUGUAUGAAGAUUAAGGCGUAUUAAAUAAACAGCCAAAACUUGGUAGUUA
rnacentral:lncRNA from 1 species